ensembl:lncRNA
AUCUGACUUAAGAAUUGCCAUUGUUGGGCAGGUGUGUACUUCCAGAUCUACAAUCAAGGGAUUUUUGUUUUAUACCAGAAUCAAUGUUAACUUUCUGAAUGCCUGAAAUUUAAAUGUUACUUCUUUGCUUUGACUAUAUUUAAUUAUAUUUAAGCUAAAGAACCUAUCUCUAAGUUUAAUAAAUCUGAAAUGAUAGUAUGAUGUUUGCUGAUGGAGAGGAAGGGAUAGCUUUAUACAGGAAGCUGACUUCCAUUUGUUACUUUCAAAAAAAUUUUAAACAUUAAGAAAAGACAUGUCCUUAGUUAUGAUGAAAUGUCUAAACCGGUGCAGUUAUUACCAUUUGCCGAACUGUGCUCAUGUAUGUUAAUGGUGUCUUCAGCCUGUACAGUGUCUGUCUGGGCAAAGGACUCUACAGGUUUGUAGUUUAAGAGGGGACCAUAUAGUCAGGUGCAGCUGACUUGUGAGUUGCAUAAGUCAAUCUUGUCAGUCCUCCAUCUAUGUCACUAUCCCUCUUUGUUUUAAUGACUACAGCCCUAUAUGGAUUAGUUAAUAUUUUAGAAAAAAAUGUUUAAUUUGAAAUUUCUUGAGGUAUUUUGUAGUAUUUGAUCCAAUUGCAUUUUUGUAGUAAAACUUUAAACAUUGCCCUUUAUCUACAUAUGGUGUUUGGCUCUUAGCCUCUGGAAGUGACUAAGGCAUAUAUAUCUGUUAGAGCAGGGUCAGUAACCUAAGGGUUAUCCUUAGGUGCCAUGAAUUUGAACAUGUAACUGGGUUUAAGGAAUUUGAAAAUUAGAAACUCUGCAUAGCUCUAGAAAACCUCCCUUCUGCCUAUUUAAAAAGUGAAUAUUUACUGCUCUUCACCACAUGGGGUUGUGAUAAAUCUGUUAGAAAAAUCUUCCCCAAAGAACCAGCAGGACUCCUUAUUUUUCUUGUUCUAUUUAGUCUUAAGUUAGUUUUAAAACUUGGGACUGUAAAUGUUUUUUAAGAAAUACAGAAUACUCUAUAAUUUUGCUCCCUAAAAUAGAUGGCAUUAUGUUUAUUUCAUGCUUGUAAAAUAAUCUUAUGGAGGAAGUGCUGAAAACAAGCAAAUGAGAUUGCUUUUCCUAUUUAAUAUUCUGUGUAUAAGUACCUUAGCUCUAAGGGAAUUCUUCAAAGAGCAACAUGCAGGAAAGACCAUUUACUCCCCUACCAGAGCCUUGAAGUCCCUGCUUCAAGCUACUGUGUUUAGGUGCUGAGUUUAAAUAUCCAGAGUUCUUUUCAAUACCUGUAAAUACUGCUUUUAUUCUUGUAUUUGUACAGAAGUGUGCGAAAUGAUACAAAAAAGUAAUAAAAAUGUUUUGAC